UUUUUUUUUUUCAUUAAGCCUGAUAAAAUCUAAGAGUUACCUCUUUAAAAGACAAAUAAGAGGACAGUGGAGGCCAGCAUGUUAGAUUAUGUCAUGUUUGAGAAAGAACUCAGACUCACAAGGAGGUUUUAUAUUUGCUUUGGGAUAUUAAGAAAGACGAUCUUUAUGUCAGAAUAUUAAGAGUGUAAAAUGUUUGGCCCAUUUUUAAAGUAAGACUUUAGGUUGCUGUCUGUAAAUGUUGUAUGUUGUUUAUAACAAGCCAUUGUCUUUUUUCAAGGAUGAACAGUUUGUGAAGGAACAUCAUUCUAAGAGUUGAGUGAUGUAAUAAUCCUUAUGUCUGGACAGUUCACCAGAUUCUCCAGAAGGCUUUCAAACGACUAAAGUUUGAUGUUUGUCCUGCUGAGCUUACUGGGAAAGAGAUAGCAUAAAAACUGUCUGUACUAGCAUGUAGAUGUAUCAUUUGCUAAACUUGGUGAAACAAAAAAUGAAGCAGAAUCACAAAUCUGUCAACAAACUGGAAUUACUUGAUAUUAAGUCAAAAUGUCAGAUUGAGCAUUUUAAAUGUCACAAGUGGAAAAUUUGAGGAGGGUGUAGACGUUGUAAUCUCUAAGUGUCUGUCUUCAAAAGUUGAAGUUUUCUACAUAGUGAGGAAAUGGAUGGUCCUCUUAACCCUUAGAGACCAAGGCAGCCUCAGUCAUACUUCCUAAUUGGAUGGAUAUUAAUUUACAGAGGCCUGGGCCUUUAUGCUUGAAGCAUGACUGUACUGGUUUGACUCCAGUUACUUCAUGUGAGAAAUAUGUGGUGUUGUGAAAUCUGCGUUUGAAAUUUCAGUUCAUACAGAAAGAAAUCAAGCCGCUUUAAUGCAAGCUGAAUUUUUUUUAACAUGAGAAUUAGAAAAAAAAACCUUGUUUUUGAGCUACAUGGAGAAUCUUUAUUAAGAAAAUGACAUAAUUUUUUAGACUCUUAGAGCCAAGAUUGUAUGUGGCCACCUUACCAGUAAUGUUUUUCUCUUCAUAUUGGCCAAAAGGGAAUGAAAAUGUCAUAGGAAUCUGUACAUAUGCUACUGAUUUGCCUAGAAAAUAGCAAGUUUGGUAUUGCUCACUUUGCAUAUAUUAGUGGCACUUUUAUCUAUAGGACAGAUUAACUCUAAUAAAAAUGAAAUGGGGAGGGGUUUAUUUUUGAUAUAUUACUCUUCUGAGUUUUCAAGCUUUGAUAGUGUUUAACUGAAAAAUGGUUUAGAAAGGGCUAGAUCCAAUAUGUUCAUAUUUAAAAAAUUGAUAUGAGAUACAAUUUAAGUUCUUUAUCGAAAGCAAGUACCAUAUUAGCAACCAUCAUAUUGUCCUAGGUGCUGCUUGUUUAGAUGUUAUAGAGUGGGUGGGGAAGUGGCAUUUUGUAAUAUAUGUGUACAUAUAUACAUACAUACAGUAUAUCAUCUAAAUGCUCUGAGAGCUGUUAUGUCAGGAAUGCUGAGUAUUAUAGCAUAUUGAGGUCAGAUGAGACUCCACUCUUCUGUGCAUUCUCCUGCAUCUCUUCUGGUGUUUCAGUGACUGUAUUACUCCAGCACUCACAACUGGGUUUUCUCUUUUCUUCCAGUUUUUAUUAAUUUUUGGUUUUGUUGUUGUUUGGCUUGAUGCUUUGAGUAUGUUACCAGUCACUUGAAAACUCCUAAACCCCAAAGCCGCUUUCCCCUGCUUUGUUUCCGGCAGCUAUAAAUUGGUAAGAACAUUUUGAUAAUAGCUUUUAAGAGACUUGUUUCAAGAAUCAUUUUGGGCAAAAACUUGUGGUGUUUCAUUUGAACAGGGAUUUUUGUCAGGACGAGUUUCGAUGGUAGGUCAGCAAACAGUGCUAGUGUCUGAAGCACAAGACCAGUCAGGCAGGCUGUCCAAUCAAAAGUCCUCUUGGCUGACGUUUGUCUCUGUCUCUCAGGACUCCUCCCUACUGUUUUCAACCACUUAGGUGACAUGGAUUCAUACAAAUAUUGGGGCUCAGAAACAAACAUUCAUAUAACCCGGAAUGCUUUUACUUACUUGAAGUGACUUCAAUCUAAAUGUUGUCUUUCCUAUUUAGGAAGCUUUAAUUCUCUGUGGACUCCAGUCAGCUAGUAACGCAAGUUGGUUUCUCUCCCUAUAGCUGCUUCAUUUUCAGUUCCUUCCAGAGGCUUUUGUUUUGCCUUUGUAACACUGAAAACUAUUGGCAUAUCACUCCCCGGGGCCCAAUACAAAGGCUGUAUAUUUACUUGGGGUUGUACUUACAGUAAUUCUUUGUAAAUGUUCAGUGGAACUUGCACUUUUUUUAAAGACCCAGUUUGGGUAUCAGCAACUUGGGAAAUUCCUCAUCCGUGAGUUCUCAGCUGACCCUUUUGUCUUCCUCCUCUUCAAAUCAUGACUCCUUAAUGGAAGCUUUUCAUUGAUUACAAUAUCAUAGAUAGCCUUAAGCAUGCUAUAAAAGCUAAAUAUCUGGGAAUUAGAUUUGACUAAUACUGAAGGAAAAAUAAGUACUUAUAAUUUUAAAUCUCAUCCUCACUCCAUCUAUGUAGAGUAUGCCAAAAAAAAAAAAAUAAUUCAGAAGAUUACAAACCUUGUUAAAGCAAUUUGUCAUCAUGGAAAACCAUGUAAUCAUUGUUACUAAAACAUUUUAAUUUGGCUUUGUUAACUUGAGAGAAAUGCUGCCUAAACUUGACUGGUUUCUGACUGAGGGGAGUAAAGACUGCUUUGUUAGGCCUGUAGGUGAGUCAUUCUAGAAUAAACUUGUUCACUGAAAUGUACAAAGCACAACUAGAGUUUUGGGUGGCUUGUGUGUGUCUUGAUUACUUUCAAUGUUAAUAAUGUUGACUUUUUAAGUUAACAGUCACUGUUAUGUACUAGGAACUGGUUUCCUUGACUUUCUAGAAUCAAUGGCCAAGAGAGGCAUAUAAUCCUUGAGGGGUUGAAGGUAUCAUGAAGUUGAGUCAGUAUGGAAGAAUUUCAAACAAAUUAAACAGGGUGCUGAAGUUCCGGCUGACUCAUCUGCUCAUGGUACGCUUACUGAUUAGUGAAUGUAGUUUUAAGCCUUUGUAUGUGUCCUCAGGGGCAGACAAACUUUAACAAGGACCAGAUAACAUUUGAAUGGAGGAAUUAUAUUUCAGGUGUUUUAGCUUGAAAUUUAUUUUUUAAAAAAAGAAAAAUUAAAAAAAAUAAAUAAGAGAGCAAAGUUUGGGAAGCGAGUUGUCAGUGUGAGAACAGACGCUGAUGAUGAGCCGGCCUGUCCCACUCUGGUGGGGCGGGGGCCAGCUGGGUAAAUAUUAAAUUGUUACCAGCAAGAAAAAGGAAGAAGAGUAAUAAUCUAUAGGAAGUAUCCGAGAGGGUCAAACAGUAGGAAACUUCCCAGGCAUGAUCUACUUGCCCAUAGAAGUAUAGCAUUUCUAAGCUUCUGUCUAAUGGACAUCUCGAGAUGAGAGUAAGUCUGAGAUGUUAAAAAUCAGUAGAGAAGAAAGAUCACUGCAGAUCAUAAUCUAUGUUGGCCACAUGAAAUGAUUUAUUAUAUUUGGGAAGUUUUAUUUUCUUAUGUUUUUUAAAAUUGAAUUGGUAAGUGCUUUAUAGACGUAUUUUUACCCAGGUGCCACUUCAAUGUGUAUGUAAUAAAAUUAUUUAUAUUAAAAGUGGGAAAUUUUGUCAACAUUUUUCUGUGUGUGUAGAUUUAUUAGGAUGGUGAAGAAGUGUGCUAGUUAGCAGUUUUCUGUGUAAAGCUGUCUUCAACUGAUCUGUACACAUCGGUUAUAAUGCCCCAGUGGAAGGGAUCAUUUCCAACCUAGACAUGUCACUUGAAACUUUUGAAAAACAAAAUAACCAGGGAAGUCCUAGAAUGGUGUUUGGCUUUUUGGGUUUUCCUUGAGUACUGGAGUAGAAAAUACCUCCCCGGAACUGUUAGCACAAAACAGGGUAUGAGCUUUAACUCUGAUGUUCCUAUUGGAGAAGAAUACUAAUAACUAUGAGAAGGGACAUACAUUUCUAAUAACGUUCCCACAAUCUAGAAACGUCCCUGUUUAAAUUUUUUACCUAAAUCUUUUUGUGCUUUAUGUGUAAAGAAUAAAAGUACCAAGACACCAUGCAUUUUAUUAACACUAUGUACAUACUGGCUGCUUUGUGUUCAGAAUGGUAGCAGUUACUUUGUAUAUUAAAGUGAUCCUUGUGAAUUUGUGAAAUAUUGUCAUAAAGUGCUUUUCUUACUGUAAUCUUUGUGGUAUCAACUGUCAUAAUGCCCUUUUUACACAGACAUUUAUGUGCAGUCACAUAAACAUGCUUUUAAAAUCUCUGUAAAGUCUCUUUUUUGGGCAUGGGACACCCCUCCCCCCCCAAGCCUAGUAUGUGUUUACCCUCAUUUUCUUGGACUUGAGUUUAUUUUGUCAAAUGAGCAAAGAUUGCAUUAAAUAAUCACAGGCUUGUAAUGCAUAGCAACAGAAAACUAUAAUUUACACAACACAUUUAAACACUCAAUUUUACUGAAUUUUUUUUGUCAGUAAGGUUGAGCAGUGAUCUAAAACUCCCAAGUACUGUUCUCCUAUUGAGUAUCUAAUGGAGACGUCCAGCAGCUUACAGUUAGGAAGUGUGUGCAUGCCCUGAAUGAACAAUAACAACUCUGAUCACCUUUAUUCUGAAUUAUGUGAUUA
rnacentral:lncRNA from 1 species